UGGGUCAUCUACCUUUUAGGUGGGGAAUAAACCUUGGGAAAACCGGGGCUAAUACCGCAUAAGUUCGUAAGAAGAAAGUCGCAAGACGCCGAAAGAGGAGCCCGCGGCUGAUUAGCUAGUUGGUGAGGUAACGGCUCACCAAGGCAACGAUGCGUAGCCGACCUGAGAGGGUGAUCGGCCACAUUGGAACUGAGACACGGUCCAGACUCCUACGGGAGGCAG
rnacentral:rRNA from 1 species